rnacentral:rRNA from 1 species
AGAGUUUGAUCCUGGCUCAGGACGAACGCUGGCGGCGUGCUUAACACAUGCAAGUCGAACGGAAAGGCCCUUCGGGGUACUCGAGUGGCGAACGGGUGAGUAACACGUGGGUGAUCUGCCCUGCACUUUGGGAUAAGCCUGGGAAACUGGGUCUAAUACCGAAUAUGACCAUGCACUUCCUGGUGUGUGGUGGAAAGCUUUUGCGGUGUGGGAUGGGCCCGCGGCCUAUCAGCUUGUUGGUGGGGUAAUGGCCUACCAAGGCGACAACGGGUAGCCGGCCUGAGAGGGUGACCGGCCACACUGGGACUGAGAUACGGCCCAGACUCCUACGGGAGGCAGCAGUGGGGAAUAUUGCACAAUGGGCGCAAGCCUGAUGCAGCGACGCCGCGUGAGGGAUGACGGCCUUCGGGUUGUAAACCUCUUUCAGCACAGACGAAGCGCAAGUGACGGUAUGUGCAGAAGAAGGACCGGCCAACUACGUGCCAGCAGCCGCGGUAAUACGUAGGGUCCGAGCGUUGUCCGGAAUUACUGGGCGUAAAGAGCUCGUAGGUGGUUUGUCGCGUUGUUCGUGAAAACUCACAGCUUAACUGUGGGCGUGCGGGCGAUACGGGCAGACUUGAGUACUGCAGGGGAGACUGGAAUUCCUGGUGUAGCGGUGAAAUGCGUAGA